UAGCUAGUUGGUGAGGUAAAGGCUUACCAAGGCGACGAUCUGUAGCGGGUCUGAGAGGAUGAUCCGCCACACUGGAACUGAGACACGGUCCAGACUCCUACGGGAGGCAGCAGUGGGGAAUUUUGGACAAUGGGGGCAACCCUGAUCCAGCCAUGCCGCGUGAGUGAAGAAGGCCUUCGGGUUGUAAAGCUCUUUCGGCCGGGAAGAAAUCGCAUGGGCCAAUACCCUGUGUGGAUGACGGUACCGGAAUAAGAAGCACCGGCUAACUACGUGCCAGCAGCCGCGGUAAUACGUAGGGUGCGAGCGUUAAUCGGAAUUACUGGGCGUAAAGCGUGCGCAGGCGGUUUUGUAAGACAGGCGUGAAAUCCCCGGGCUUAACCUGGGAACUGCGUUUGUGACUGCAAGGCUAGAGUACGGCAGAGGGGGGUGGAAUUCCACGUGUAGCAGUGAAAUGCGUAGAGAUGUGAAGGAACACCAAUGGCGAAGGCAGCCCCCUGGGUCGAUACUGACGCUCAUGCACGAAAGCGUGGGUAGCAAACAGGAUUAGAUACCCUGGUAGUCCACGCCCUAAACUAUGUCAACUAGGUGUUGGGUGGGUAAAACCAUUUAGUACCGUAGCUAACGCGUGAAGUUGACCGCCUGGGGAGUACGGCCGCAAGGUUAAAACUCAAAGGAAUUGACGGGGACCCGCACAAGCGGUGGAUGAUGUGGAUUAAUUCGAUGCAACGCGAAAAACCUUACCUACCCUUGACAUGCCAGGAACUUGCCAGAGAUGGCUUGGUGCCCGAAAGGGAGCCUGGACACAGGUGCUGCAUGGCUGUCGUCAGCUCGUGUCGUGAGAUGUUGGGUUAAGUCCCGCAACGAGCGCAACCCUUGUCGUUAAUUGCCAUCAUUUAGUUGGGCACUUUAACGAGACUGCCGGUGACAAACCGGAGGAAGGUGGGGAUGACGUCAAGUCCUCAUGGCCCUUAUGGGUAGGGCUUCACACGUCAUACAAUGGUCGGUACAAAGGGUUGCCAAGCCGCGAGGCGGAGCCAAUCCCAGAAAGCCGAUCGUAGUCCGGAUUGCAGGCUGCAACUCGCCUGCAUGAAGUCGGAAUCGCUAGUAAUCGUGGAUCAGCAUGUCACGGUGAAUACGUUCCCGGGUCUUGUACACACCGCCCGUCACACCAUGGGAGCGGGUUCCGCCAGAAGUAGGUAGCCUAACCGCAAGGGGGGCGCUUACCACGGCGGGGUUCGUGACUGGGGUGAAGUCGCAACAAGGUAGCCGUAGGGGAACCUGCGGCUG
rnacentral:rRNA from 1 species